GGGGAAUAUUGCACAAUGGAGGAAACUCUGAUGCAGCGACGCCGCGUGAGCGAAGAAGUAUUUCGGUAUGUAAAGCUCUGUCAGCAGGGAAGAUAAUGACGGUACCUGACCAAGAAGCCCCGGCUAACUACGUGCCAGCAGCCGCGGUAAUACGUAGGGGCAAGCGUUAUCCGGAUUUACUGGGUGUAAAGGGAGUGUAGGUGGCUGCGCAAGUCAGGAGUGAAAGCCCGGGGCUCAACCCCGGGACUGCUCUUGAAACUGCGCGGCUUGAGUGCAGGAGGGGCAGGCGGAAUUCCUAGUGUAGCGGUGAAAUGCGUAGAUAUU
rnacentral:rRNA from 1 species